rnacentral:rRNA from 1 species
AUGGGUCCUCUUCCUCCUUUCUCAGAGUGGCAGACAACGUGCACUAGGCCAUCUCUUCCUCUUCUCUCCAACUCAUUCAAUCAUUCACAGCACUCUUCUUCUUCCAUGGCCAUGGUUCCCCUCCACAUACUACUCGGCCUUCUCCUCCUCUUGCAAGCUACUCCUCCAUGCUCCUCAGCAAGUGGCGAUACUCUCGCGGCGGGCCAGGUGCUCACCGUCAGGGACAAGCUCGUCUCAGCAAACGGCAGGUUUGCGCUCGGCUUCUUCCAGUUUCCGCCACCAAGUAACACUACUGUUAGCAAGUCCAACACCACCACCUCCACCUCCCCAAGCUCCAACUGGUACCUUGUCAUAUGGUUUUACAAGAUACCAGUUUUUACUACCGUGUGGGUCGCCAAUAGGGACGACCCAAUCGUCGACCCCAAACCCAACCUCACACAGCUCAAAAUCUCAAGCGAUGGCAACCUUGUCAUCAUACACGAUGAUGUUGUAAUCUGGUCCACUCGCGUUGUAAACAACAAUAGGACACAAACCAACAGCAUAAACACCACCAGUGUAGUCCUCAUGGACAGUGCAAACCUAGUCCUUACAUCAUCAUCUGGACAACGGUUAUGGGAAAGCUUCGACUACCCAACAGAUGUUGUGCUCCCUGGCGCCAAAUUUGGCUGGAACAAGGUCACCCGUUUGAACCGUCGGGCAAUCUCGAGAAAGAGCACCGUUGAUCCGGGGCUUGGCUCGUAUAGCAUCGAGCUAGAAACCAAUGGCAAAGGGAUAGUCCUCAAGCGCCGUAAACCCUCGGUAGUGUAUCGGGUUUAUGCGCCUGAAAGUUCAGAGAUAUUGAAACUUUUACCAAGAAUCCAAAAGAUUCUACAAUUGGACCCACGAACAAAUGGUUUGAUUGUCCCAAAUUAUACCAAUAACCCAGAAGAGGAGUACUAUAUUUACACCUCGCCAGAUGAAUCAUCCUCCUCAUUUCUCUCGCUAGACAUCUCUGGUCAAAUCAAGCUGAAUAUCUGGUCACAAGCCAAUCAAUCUUGGCAAGCUGUAUUUGCCGACCCUGUUGAUGUCUGCACCCCAGCUGCAACCUGCGGACCUUUCACGGUAUGCGACGCCAAUGCGCAACCACCAUGUGAUUGCAUGGAGAACUUCUCUAAGAAGUCGCCACAACAUUGGGCGUUUGGUGAUCGAACACAUGGGUGCAUCAGAAAUACACCGCUAUAUUGCACCAGUGGCAAGAACACGACAACUUCGACAGACAUGUUCCACCCAAUUGCUAAAGUUACAUUGCCCUACAACUCGCAAAGUGUAAACCUUGCUACCACUCGUAGUAAGUGUGAGGAAUCUUGUCUCAGCUCAUGCUCCUGCACGGCUUAUUCCUAUAGCAAUAGCAAUUGCUCUGUCUGGCAUGGGAAACUGCUUGCUGUAAGUCUCAGUGAUGGCCUUGAAAUUAGUUCUGAAGAUAUUCUUUACCUGCGCCUUGCCGCCAAAGAUCUGCCAAGUUUGGGAAAAGACAAAAGAAAACCAAAUGUUGGAGUUGUUACUGCUGCAAGCAUUAGUAGUUUUGGGUUACUAAUUCUCAUGUUGUUGUUAGUGAUUUGGAGGAAAAAACUUGGAUGGUGUGGUUCGCCGUUAUACGCCAAUCAAGGCCCUAGUGGGUUAAUCGCGUUUAGAUACAUUGAUUUAGCUCAUGCUACAAAAAACUUCUCUGAACAUUUGGGAACAGGUGGUUUUGGUUCUGUAUAUAAAGGAGCACUAAGUGACUCGACUACUAUAGCCGUAAAAAGGCUUGAUGGUGCCCGCCAGGGGGAGAAGCAAUUCAGAGCUGAGGUGAGCUCAAUUGGACUGAUUCAACAUGUUAACCUAGUCAAAUUGAUUGGUUUCUGUUGCCAAGGUGAUAACAGAUUACUUGUGUAUGAGCAUAUGUUUAAUGGAUCUCUUGAUGGACAUCUAUUUAAGAGCAAUGCCUUUGUCUUGAAUUGGGACAUUAGGUACCAAAUAGUCCUAGGAAUGGCUAGAGGACUAUCCUACUUGCAUCAGAGUUGUCGCGAGUGCAUCAUACACUGUGAUAUUAAGCCAGAGAACAUACUGCUCAAUGCAUCAUUUUCUCCUAAAAUUGCAGACUUUGGGAUGGCAGCUUUUGUGGGCAGGAACUUUAGUCGAGUCUUGACUACAUUCAGAGGAACUGUGGGUUAUCUUGCCCCAGAAUGGCUUAGUGGAGUUGCUAUCACACCCAAAGUUGAUGUUUACAGCUUUGGCAUGGUACUGUUUGAGAUCAUAUCAGGAAAGAGAAAUUUACCUGAAACAUGUACUGGUAGCGGUGCCGGCGAUCAUGUUGAAUAUUUCCCUCUGCAAGUCAUCAGCAAGCUUUGUGGGGGAGAUAUGCAAAGUUUGGUUGAUCCACAACUACAUGGUGACUUUGAUUUAAAACAGGCUGAGAGGGUUUGCAAAGUGGCAUUAUGGUGCAUCCAAGAUAACGAGUCUGAUCGACCGACGAUGGGUGAAGUGGUUCGGGUUCUCGAGGGUCUCCAGGAGAUCGACAUGCUUCCCAUGCCAAAGCUACUUGCAGCUAUAACUGGACGCCCUAAUGGAACUUCAGUGUAA